rnacentral:lncRNA from 1 species
GCAUUCGAGGGGAAAUUAAGGGAAUAAAUAAUCCAUGGGCCUUUAAAUGUGUUGUCCUUAAGCAGAACAUCUCCAGCUUGAUUUCCACCUUCCUACUGAAUCAUUUAAAUUAAGAUUGCUCAGCCUCCUGGGGUCCUGUCCGUCCGCAAACAGCAGGUGCAGCUAGCCGCCCCGCCCAGGGCAGCCCUGAGCAGCAGCAGGUGGGGUGGCUGUCACCCCCUGGGACGCCAAGUUCAAGUGCACCUGAGGGGUCAAGGUCACCACCUGCCUGGGGCUCCAGUCAGUCCCCCCGAGCAUUCUGGGAAUCCCAAUUCAGAAGGAAUCCUACCCCUAGGCUCCUCGCUCCCCCGCUGACAGGAUAAUUACAGGGGAGAAAACCUGGCCUGGACAAUGGAGCCCGUGGGCCAUCGCUCCUCUGCACCUGCCCUGACAUCACCGUGACCAGCAGAGAGCAAGCUCCAGGAUCACUUCCUGUGGGAUCUGGAGGAUCCAGCACAGCUUCCCCUGAGUGCAGUGAGCUGGCCUGCUCCCAGGGAGGCUGCAGGGUCCUGCUAGGACCCCUCCCAGAGGACUGGACCUGUCCUGCUAUCUCUGCAUCCUUCCCAGUGGCCCAGCACGAGGAGCAGUGUCAGCUUCCUGAGCGGGACCCUGCUCCAACCUGAGUGCCUGCUCCCCCAAAUACCAUCCCCCAGACCCUGUCCUGACAGAGGGCUGAUGCCCAGGGGGCUGCCCUGUGGACAGGACUCCCUGGACUUCCUCCUCUGCCGGCCCCCAUGUGUGCACACAGGGACUGGGGGCUCAGGGUCCACAUGAGUCCUUUUUUUUCUGCCUUAUUGCCCCAAAUCCCCCCGCUACAUAGUUGUAUAUCUUAGUUGUAGGUCCUUCUAGUUGUGGCAUGUGGGACGCCGCCUCAACGAGGCCUGACAAGCCGUGCCAUGUCCACGCCCAAUAUCCGAACAGAAGAAACCCUGGGCUGCCGCAGCUGAGCGCAAGAACUUAACUACUUGGCCACGGGGCCGACCCCCACACGUGAGAAUCAGAAACAAACCUCGUGCCUGACAACAGUCAUCAAACACAGCACCCCGUGCCAACAGCUGCUCCCAGCUUGAGUUUGAUUUCAGAACACUGACCAUCGGCCAACUGCCCAGGGAAGGAGGGACUUGGACAGUGUGUCCUUAGUUGUCACGGCCCUCUGUGAGAGUCCACCCAGAGCUGGGAGCCUUUCCAGGCGCUGGGAUCCCGUGGAGAAUCGAGGCGGGAGACCCCUGUCCUCCUGGAGCCCCACCUACAAGGAGAAGGACGUGAGGCCGGUCCAGGCCUGGGGCCCGCAGACCCCACGAGUCACAACUCUCAGAGCUGGAAGCUGCUGCAGGGGCAGAGGGUCCUCAGGCCCCCAGAACCUGAGUCAGACUCUGUGGGGAGGGCCAGCCCUGAAUGUUAGCUCUCCCCAGAUGCCGUUUUAAACACUGACCAUCAGAGAACCUGACCCGAGGAGGGAGCUCCCUGACUGCACCUCCAUCACCUCACCUCUGCCGGAACCCUCCAGUGACGGGGAGCUCACCACCCUGUGAAGCAGCCCUUCCAUGGGACUGUGAGAGGCACCUCCCCUGCUGGCCCAGCUCAGCCUCCCCAGCGCUCCCGUCAGCCCAGCUCUGCAGACAGCCCACCCACAUCCCCCAGGGUUCCUGCCUUCCUGAGAGUCCUCCUUCCCAGCUGAGCCCCUGUCCCCUCCCCCCAGCUGCCCCUGCUCCCGCAGCCCCUCUGGCCCCUGAGCAGGUAGGUGCCCAGGACACCUGCUCCAGCUGCUACCCCCCAGACCUCCCCUCACUUCCCUACUGCAGGCUUGGGGCAGAGCAGACACCCACAGCCCCUCCAGAUGAGGGGUCAGGGCUCCAUCUGACAGCUCAGAUAGGAGCCACCGAGGUGCAGGGAGAUUCCCUCAGAUGCUGUAUUUGCUGUUUGCAUGCUCACAGCCUCCAGCUCUGCACCAGCAUCUGCCGUGCAAGAAAGGACUGCAACCCCUGCAGUCGGGGCUCUGCUGCUCCUCAACUGGAGCCCCCGCAGGGCUGGCACUUAGGAAGCCAAUCACCUGUGGUUCCAACCUCAGGCUCUGCUCUGAGGCAGAGGCCUGCUCUGCAUCUGGAAACCUCUGAGCCUCUCCCACGGGAGCUCAGUUCCUCCUUCCUGACGUCCUCUCUCCUCCUUCUGUAGCUCAGACCAGAAGUUACAGCCACAGAGCAGAGCAAACUCCUCCUGGGGCUGAGCUGCAGGUGACACACAGCAGGUGUGGGCAGCCCUGGGCGGCUCCGCCACACUCAGGUGCACUUACUGCAAAGCCACUCCCCUGGUGAGUCGUGCAGUGGGAACCGUGGACGGAGUGUGCUCCCCACCCCACAUCAGCCCUGAGUUCCCCAGGGGACAGAGGACAGGUUCUGACUGUUGGUGCAGGAGCAGGUGCAGCCCCCUCCCACAGGCAGAGAGCAGGCUGAGGGGAGAGCAGGGGACACUGCAGCCUCCCUGCCAGCUGGCCCCGCGGCCCAGGCCUGCCCCCGCGCCAAGUCCUUGGGCUCUGACACCAGAGGACAGCUCAUGGGGGGCCUCACCUGGGGGAUCUUCACCUGGGAGGGCCUUACCUGGGGGUCCUCAGAGACCUUGACCGUGGGUGGUGCCUGAACCCCUCCUGGCUGCAGCCUGAGAUGCAGGGUGGGGUGUCUGAGACUCGGGCAGGCCUUUCUCUGUGACCAUUGGCCCCACUUGCUCCUCUUCAAUGUGGGUUGGUGUCCAGGGAUCACCUGGACAUGGGCACUGAGGUUCCUUCGUGGAGAAAGGGGGUUGUUCUCCAGAUGCUGGAAGAAGAGCUUGGCCUCCUCCCACAGCUCAUGCCCCCACCGGCCAUGCUCCAGGCCCAGGAAGCCUUGCGCUCCCUCCACAAGCUGAACUGAGAACAGCAGAAUCCACAUCACCUGGAGGGCUUGAUCCUGGAGCAGGGGUGGCUCAUUACGCUGCUGAUGUAAGAGGUUUUGUCUGAAAUAGAUUCGCAGGCAGGAAAGGGUCCUGGAUUGAUGCCUCAAGACCUGGAGCAGGUGCUCCCGCCUGAGCACAGUGGGCUCACGGGCAGGGAGGGCGCUGAGCACCUGCUCCAGGCUGUUUCUCUAGCAAGACAUGACUGUGCUCAUGUGGCCAGUGUAGGGCCAGGGGUGGCUAGGGAGACACCACAGGCUCAGUGUAGACACAACAGGGGAACUGGGGAGACCACCAGGUCUGUGUGCA